UAAAGUGGCCUUACUGAACAGACAACGUGGU
rnacentral:piRNA from 1 species